rnacentral:rRNA from 1 species
GGGUGGCGAGUGGCGGACGGGUGAGGAAUGCGUCGGAAUCUGCCUUUUUGUGGGGGAUAACGUAGGGAAACUUACGCUAAUACCGCAUACGACCUACGGGUGAAAGUGGGGGACCGCAAGGCCUUGUGCUCCUGGAGCGGCCGAUAUCUGAUUAGCUAGUUGGUGAGGUAAAGGCUCACCAAGGCGACGAUCAGUAGCUGGUCUGAGAGGACGACCAGCCACACUGGAACUGAGACACGGUCCAGACUCUUAUGGGAGGCAGCAGUGGGGAAUUUUGGACAAUGGGAGCAAGCCUGAUCCAGCAAUGCCCGCGUGAGUGAAGAAGGCCUUCGGGUUGUAAAGCUCUUUUGUCAGGGAAGAAACGGCUGUGGCUAAUAUCCACGGCUAAUGACGGUACCUGAAGAAUAAGCACCGGCUAACUACGUGCCAGCAGCCGCGGUAAUACGUAGGGUGCAAGCGUUAAUCGGAAUUACUGGGCGUAAAGCGUGCGCAGGCGGUUUUGUAAGUCUGACGUGAAAUCCCCGGGCUUAACCUGGGAAUUGCGUUGGAGACUGCAAGGCUGGAAUCUGGCAGAGGGGGGUAGAAUUCCACGUGUAGCAGUGAAAUGCGUAGAGAUGUGGAGGAACACCGAUGGCGAAGGCAGCCCCCUGGGUCAAGAUUGACGCUCAUGCACGAAAGCGUGGGGGAGCAAACAGGAUUAGAUACCCUGGUAGUCCACGCCCUAAACGAUGUCUACUAGUUGUCGGGUCUUAAUUGA